AUUGAACGCUGGCGGCAGGCCUAACACAUGCAAGUCGAACGGUAACAGGAAACAGCUUGCUGUUUCGCUGACGAGUGGCGGACGGGUGAGUAAUGUCUGGGAAACUGCCUGAUGGAGGGGGAUAACUACUGGAAACGGUAGCUAAUACCGCAUAACGUCGCAAGACCAAAGAGGGGGACCUUCGGGCCUCUUGCCAUCGGAUGUGCCCAGAUGGGAUUAGCUAGUAGGUGGGGUAACGGCUCACCUAGGCGACGAUCCCUAGCUGGUCUGAGAGGAUGACCAGCCACACCGGAACGGAGACACGGUCCAGACUCCUACGGGAGGCAGCAGUGGGGAAUAUUGCACAAUGGGCGCAAGCCUGAUGCAGCCAUGCCGCGUGUAUGAAGAAGGUCUUCGGGUUGUAAAGUACUUUCAGCGGGGAGGAAGGGAGUAAAGUUAAUACCUUUGCUCAUUGACGUUACCCGCAGAAGAAGCACCGGCUAACUCCGUGCCAGCAGCCGCCGUAA
rnacentral:rRNA from 1 species